rnacentral:lncRNA from 1 species
AGCACCGCGGUGGCCACCGAGCCCCCCACCCUGGUCCCCGCACCCCGGCUUCACCCCACACCCCCUCUUUGCCAGGAGACCCCCCCACGGCACCAGCACCCCCCCGCGGGCAGCCAGCCCCCCCCUGAGUCCAGAUGCCAGCAAGGGCCACCCGCCCCGGACCCGCCGCCCCCGCGGCACAGGGAAAACCUGCAGGGAGACCCCGAAAAGUCACCCGAAGCCCAAAUGCAGCCGCUACCGCCGGGAAAAGCAGCAGGGAGACCUGCCACCGCCACCGCUGCCACCACCGGGCGAGAGCCCUGGCCCCUUGCCGGAGCGGGAGCCGAGUGGGGCCGAGCGCAAGGUCACCCAUCGCCCAGCCCGCAGCGAUGAGGUCGUCCCCUACGGCAAACCCUCCUGCCUGCCCCGAGGGCAGGUGUCCGGCAGCUGCUCCACAACGGGCAGCGUCUCGUCCCGCGGCUCCACCAGCUCCCGCGGCCACGGCUCGGGACGCAGCCGGACGCCGGGGGACCGCGGCGAAGGGACCGGCCAUCGCUGCCGCCCGGGUCCCCCGUUUCCCUGCCCGUCGCAGGAGAAGCGAUGAAGCGAAG